UAAGAUAUCUUAUAUAAUUUAUAAGAUAUCUUAUAUAGUUUAUAAGAUAUCUUAUAAACUUUAGAAGAUAUUUUAUAUAGUUUAUGAGAUAUCUUAUGAAGACAAUUCUAUAAGAUAUCUGAUAAAUUAUAUGAGAAAUCUUAUAAACUAUAUAAGAUAUCUUAUAAAGUUUAUGAGAUAUCUUUAAGUAAGAAUAAAUAGCAAAAUGGCUUGCCAUACAUUCUUCUAAGGAAACUACAGAGAACAGACGCUUUAAACAUUGUAGAGUUUCUACAAAAUAUGGGUAUAAUAAAAACAAUCAACCAAAAAAUGUUUUGAUUCAGUGAUAUUCUUCCGAAUGGAUAUGUAGCAAUAGUUUAAUUUAUGAAUUAUUCGUGUAUAAUAAAUAUGCAUCAAUUACUUGCUAUUUGGAAGAUCUAAAUAUAAUAAGUAAAUAUCCGGCUCAGAGAUCAUAUCCGUUCUGUUCAAAACCAUGUAACACUACACUCAAUAUUAAGUAUAGUAUUGCGGAGCAUUCAAGGAACGGAUGGGAACUAUGCGCCCGAGAUUGAAUAGUUGUUAGACAUAUACUCUUAUGUUAAUAUUUGUUAUAUAAAUUAUUUACCUAUAUAUAUACUUGUAUUGACAAUAUUAUUAAAUAAAUAUGCCAUUAAAGUAUGAAAUAUUGAAAUAUUAUAGUAAAAUGUCUAAAUAUGCAUGUAUGUUUGUACAACUCUGACCG
rnacentral:lncRNA from 1 species